AAUACUACCAUACAAUUAACUGUUGGAAUUUAAUUUUGUUCAUGUUAGCAUCAGUCACACUUUGACAUUCCAGGUUCGACUAACUUGAUACAUUUCUCAAAAUAGACGUUUUCCGGUGGGGGGCUAGCUAACUAAGUUGAAAAUUACAAAACGAUGGUUGAAAAUAGUUGCAAAUCGGGGGCAACAUUUUGGGACCAGUUUUGUUCCGAUACGACCAUUUGGUGGGGGGGGGGGCUACGUGAAGUUGGCCCCCCCAACAGAAAAAAUAGAAAUUGUGUUGCAAGUAUUGAGUUGCAAAUUAUGAAACCAUCGUUGCAAAUAGUUGCAAAUUCUUUGCGUAUGUUUUGUAAUUAUAUGAAAACAUGGGGGGCCAACUUCACACACGUCGGUAUCUGUAAAAAAAAUAACGCAGAUAUCCUAAGGCCAACUCAGCGAGGACGGAAACCUCGCGUAGAGCAAAAGGGAAAAUGCUGGCUUGAUCCCGGACGCUCAGUACGCGUAGAUACUGCGAAAGCAUCGGCCUCUCGUCCGCUGAAAAGUUUUCAGCGAGAGGUGUCAGAAAAGUUACCACAGGGAUAACUGGCUUGCAGCGGCCAAGCGUUCAUAGCGACGUCGCUUUUUGAUCCUUCGAUGUCAGCUCUUCCUAUCAUUGCGAAGCAAAAUUCGCCAAGCGUCGGAUUGUUCACCUACUUAAUGGAACGUGGACUGGGUUUAUACCGUCGUGGGACAGGUUAGUUUUACCUUACUGAUGCAGG
rnacentral:ncRNA from 1 species